GAUGAACGCUGGCGGCGUGCUUAACACAUGCAAGUCGAACGGUGAAGCAGGAGCUUGCUCUUGUGGAUCAGUGGCGAACGGGUGAGUAACACGUGAGCAACCUGCCCCUGACUCUGGGAUAAGCGCUGGAAACGGCGUCUAAUACUGGAUAUGUGAUGUGACCGCAUGGUCUGCAUCUGGAAAGAAUUUCGGUUGGGGAUGGGCUCGCGGCCUAUCAGCUUGUUGGUGAGGUAAUGGCUCACCAAGGCGUCGACGGGUAGCCGGCCUGAGAGGGCGACCGGCAACACAGGGACUGAGACACGGCCCAGACUCCUACGGGAGGCAGAAGGGGGGAAUAUUGCACAAUGGGCGGGAGCCUGAUGCAGCAACGCCGCGUGGGGGAUGACGGACUUCGGGUUGUAAACAUCUUUUAGCAGGGAAGAAGCGAAAGUGACGGUACCUGCAGAAAAAGCACCGGCUAACUACGUGCCAGCAGCCGCCGUAA
rnacentral:rRNA from 1 species